UACCGAAGGGGGAACUGCCUACCCCUGUGACAUACCUUAAUGUUGCCUCGGCGGAUCAGCCCGCGCCCCGUAAAACGGGACGGCCCGCCAGAGGACCCAAACUCUAAUGUUUCUUAUUGUAACUUCUGAGUAAAACAAACAAAUAAAUCAAAACUUUCAACAACGGAUCUCUUGGUUCUGGCAUCGAUGAAGAACGCAGCAAAAUGCGAUAAGUAAUGUGAAUUGCAGAAUUCAGUGAAUCAUCGAAUCUUUGAACGCACAUUGCGCCCGCUGGUAUUCCGGCGGGCAUGCCUGUUCGAGCGUCAUUUCAACCCUCAAGCCCCCGGGUUUGGUGUUGGGGAUCGGCUCUGCCCUUCUGGGCGGUGCCGCCCCCGAAAUACAUUGGCGGUCUCGCUGCAGCCUCCAUUGCGUAGUAGCUAACACCUCGCAACUGGAACGCGGCGCGGCCAUGCCGUAAAACCCCAACUUCUGAAUGUUGACCUCGGAUCAGGUAGGAAUACCCGCUGAACUUAAGCAUAUCAAAACUCGGAGGAAGACC
rnacentral:rRNA from 1 species